rnacentral:rRNA from 1 species
GAUGGACGCUGGCGGCGUGCCUAAUACAUGCAAGUCGAGCGAACGGACGAGAAGCUUGCUUCUCUGAUGUUAGCGGCGGACGGGUGAGUAACACGUGGAUAACCUACCUAUAAGACUGGGAUAACUUCGGGAAACCGGAGCUAAUACCGGAUAAUAUUUUGAACCGCAUGGUUCAAAAGUGAAAGACGGUCUUGCUGUCACUUAUAGAUGGAUCCGCGCUGCAUUAGCUAGUUGGUAAGGUAACGGCUUACCAAGGCAACGAUGCAUAGCCGACCUGAGAGGGUGAUCGGCCACACUGGAACUGGGACACGGUCCAGACUCCUACGGGAGGCAGCAGUAGGGAAUCUUCCGCAAUGGGCGGAAGCCUGACGGAGCAACGCCGCGUGAGUGAUGAAGGUCUUCGGAUCGUAAAACUCUGUUAUUAGGGAAGAACAUAUGUGUAAGUAACUGUGCACAUCUUGACGGUACCUAAUCAGAAAGCCACGGCUAACUACGUG